CUUUUAGACCUAUCAAUUUUGUCUGUAUAAUAACACAAAAAUUAUUUGCAGGGCUUGACACCCACAAUCAGGUCCAUGUUGAACAACCACACACUAUGCCAUGGCAGCCUGGUGUUCAUCAUGGUGCAUCAGGGCUGGACAUGAACCAGUUUGUUGCUGUGCAGCAUGGUUAUGCCACACCAAAUGUGCAACACAGCACAACAGGGCUUGAUACCCACAAUCUGGUCCAUGUUGUGCAACAACGACACACUAUGUAAUGGCAGUAAGGUUAUCAUCAUGGUGCAUCAGUGCUGGACAUGAACCACAUUGUUUCUGUGCAGCAUUGUUACACCACAUCAAAUGUGCUGCACAGCACAGGUAACACCUGAUGGAACCCAUCAUAUCAAAUGUCUGUGGUACUGCUCCAAUGACCUUAUAUUCUUUAACAAUGACAAAUUAUAUAUGAGCAGCACAUCAGUCUGGAUUAUGCCAUGUCAAGGAGCAGUGAGGGAGGUCCCAAACAUUUGGAUCUUGACACUGAUGUCAAGUCAGGCACGUUAGGCUGCCACAAGAGCUGAUGACGAGGACUGGGAUACACUCAGCCUUAUCUGGCCACCAGAAGGAGAGUGGAAAGAACCUUGGAAUUCCAUCACUUCAGAGGGGGCAAUCUGGAUCCAUUCAGCUUCAUCACGCUUACUGAAUGGCCAGAUUGUCCGGACUAUGCCAUCUUGAGGACUAGAGGGAAGUCCCAAACAUUUGGAGCUUGGCACUGAUGUCGAGUCAGGCCCCAUAGACUGUAUCAAGAGUAGAGGACCUUAUAUCCACAACAUCUGGACUUCAGAAGGCCAGGAGUAGGAUCCACUCAGCUUUGCCUGGCUGCCAGAAGGAAAGUGGAAAGGAACAUUAGCGGGCCGCUGUGGCUGAGCGGAUCUAGGCACUUCAGUCCGGAACCGCGUGACUGCUACGGUCGCAGGUUCGAAUCCCGCCUCGGGCAUGGAUAUGUGUGAUGUCCUUUGGUUGGUUAGUUCCAGGGGACUGGUGACCUCUGAUGUUAAGUCCCACAGUGCUCAGAGCCAUUUCAACCAUUUUGAAAGGACCUUGGAAUUCCAUCACUUAAGAGGUGGCGAUCCAGAUCCUUUCAGCAUCAUCAGGCUUACUGAAUGGCAAAUCAGUCCGGACUAUGCCAUCUUGAGGACUAGAGGGAAGUCCCAAACAUUUGGAGCUUGGCACUGAUGUCGAGUCAGGCCCCAUAGACUGUAUCAAGAGUGGAGGACCUUAUAUCCCCAACAUCUGGAGUUCAGGAGGUCAGGACUGGGAUGCACUCUGCCAGAAGGAGAGUGGAAAUGUCCAUGAAAUAUCAGCACUUCAGAGGUCAGGAUUGUGAUUCACUCAGCCUCAUCAGGCCUAGUGAAAGGCAAGUCAGUCCAGAGUGUGAUGCAUUGAAAGCAAAUGGGAAGGACCUGAGAUGUCUCCACCAUUUGGAGUUCAGGAUAGCAUUCCACCCUGUCCACUACAGCUGCGUCAGGACCAGAUUUGAGAGGAACUGCAAUAUCUGAUCCCAGAACUAAAGACCACUCAGCACCUUCAGGAAGACUCGAGUGUGUGGAGGUCAUGCAUAUAUAAUAAGUAGAAUUAGGGACUGAAAUGCUGUUGGCAUUGCCGGGUCACCACAGUAAUGCUUGAAGUCCAGUCAUUAAGAACUGGAUUUCUACAGCAUCAACAACAGCCAGAGAAAUACUACGUGCUCUUUUCUUCUUGGUAGACAGCAGACUCCUCUGCGGCAUAGCCUUUCUUUUAUGGCCCUUAUCUGUUUGUCUGAAAUAACCAUUUUGGGGUCAAACAGCUUCUACAUUUGCCUUUAAGGAUAACGUAGUUUUUUUGGCUAACUACAGUUCAGUUAUACAUAUAUAAAUUCAGAAUUUCAUUAUAAUCAAAUAAUGUUAUCUCCAUUGGAUUUACUUUACACGCACAUGAUGCACCAUGAUGAACACCAGGCUGCCAUGGCAUAGUGUGUGGUUGUUCAACAUGGACCUGAUUGUGGGUGUCAAGCCCUGCAAAUAAUUUUUGUGUUAUUAUACAGACAAAAUUGAAAGGUCUAAAAGGUGGCAUAUAUUCCACUGCAAGUAACUCUUAAAUCAGAAUCCUAACACACUACAUUGCUACUGAACAGCAACAUUGUGAAUAUUACUUAAUCUGACACCCUUAGCUGAUAUGAGGACAUUAGAGCAGUAUGAGAUACAUUCGGAAUAAUGGGUCCGAUUAAGUGUUACCUGUUGUGCUGUGCUGCACAAUUGGUAUGGCAUAACCAUGCUGCACAGCAACAAUGUGGUUCAUGUCCAGCCCUGUAAAUUAAUUUAAUAUUAUAUUGCAGACACAGUAAAAUAGAAUUUAAAGAUAUCAAUAUACAUUAAUAUGAAUUCAGAUUAUUAUCAUACUCAAAUAUGUUACCUCCAUUAGGUUUACUUUACACUCACCUGAUGCACCAUGGUGAAUACCUGACUGCCAUAACAUACUGUGUGGUUGUUCUACAACAUGCAAGUGAUUAUUGGUGUCAAGCCCUGCAAAUAAAUUUCAUAUCACAAUUGAGGCAAAAUUGAUAGGUACUGAAAGAUAGUAUAUACAUAUACUGUACUGCAAGUAACUAUUACAUCAGAUUCCAAACACACUGCAUUGCUACUGAACAGCAAAAUUCUAAAUUUUACUUAAUGUGACAUGUUUAUUUGGUGUGAGGACUUUAUAAUAGUACCACACAUAUUUAGAAUGAUGGAUCCCAUCAAGUUUUACCUGUUUUGCUAUGCUGUACAUCUGGCACGGCACGACUAUGCUCCGCAGGAACAUCAUGAUUCAUGUUGAGCUCUGCAUAUAAAUUUCAAAUUAUAAUUCACACAAAGUUGACAGGUACUGAACACAUAUUCGUAUA